rnacentral:rRNA from 1 species
UUUGAAGAGCUUGCUCAGAUAUGACGAUGGACAUUGCAAAGAGUGGCGAACGGGUGAGUAACACGUGGGAAACCUACCUCUUAGCAGGGGAUAACAUUUGGAAACAGAUGCUAAUACCGUAUAACAAUGACAACCGCAUGGUUGUUAUUUAAAAGAUGGUUCUGCUAUCACUAAGAGAUGGUCCCGCGGUGCAUUAGCUAGUUGGUAAGGUAAUGGCUUACCAAGGCGAUGAUGCAUAGCCGAGUUGAGAGACUGAUCGGCCACAAUGGGACUGAGACACGGCCCAUACUCCUACGGGAGGCAGCAGUAGGGAAUCUUCCACAAUGGGCGAAAGCCUGAUGGAGCAACGCCGCGUGUGUGAUGAAGGGUUUCGGCUCGUAAAACACUGUUGUAAGAGAAGAAUGACAUUGAGAGUAACUGUUCAAUGUGUGACGGUAUCUUACCAGAAAGGAACGGCUAAAUACGUGCCAGCAGCCGCGGUAAUACGUAUGUUCCAAGCGUUAUCCGGAUUUAUUGGGCGUAAAGCGAGCGCAGACGGUUAUUUAAGUCUGAAGUGAAAGCCCUCAGCUCAACUGAGGAAUUGCUUUGGAAACUGGAUGACUUGAGUGCAGUAGAGGAAAGUGGAACUCCAUGUGUAGCGGUGAAAUGCGUAGAUAUAUGGAAGAACACCAGUGGCGAAGGCGGCUUUCUGGACUGUAACUGACGUUGAGGCUCGAAAGUGUGGGUAGCAAACAGGAUUAGAUACCCUGGUAGUCCACACCGUAAACGAUGAGUGCUAGGUGUUUGAGGGUUUCCGCCCUUAAGUGCCGCAGCUAACGCAUUAAGCACUCCGCNUGGGGAGUACGACCGCAAGGUUGAAACUCAAAGGAAUUGACGGGGACCCGCACAAGCGGUGGAGCAUGUGGUUUAAUUCGAAGCAACGCGAAGAACCUUACCAGGUCUUGACAUCCCUUGACAACUCCAGAGAUGGAGCGUUCCCUUCGGGGACAAGGUGACAGGUGGUGCAUGGUUGUCGUCAGCUCGUGUCGUGAGAUGUUGGGUUAAGUCCCGCAACGAGCGCAACCCUUAUUACUAGUUGCCAGCAUUCAGUUGGGCACUCUAGUGAGACUGCCGGUGACAAACCGGAGGAAGGUGGGGAUGACGUCAAAUCAUCAUGCCCCUUAUGACCUGGGCUACACACGUGCUACAAUGGCGUAUACAACGAGUUGCCAACCCGCGAGGGUGAGCUAAUCUCUUAAAGUACGUCUCAGUUCGGAUUGUAGGCUGCAACUCGCCUACAUGAAGUCGGAAUCGCUAGUAAUCGCGGAUCAGCACGCCGCGGUGAAUACGUUCCCGGGUCUUGUACACACCGCCCGUCACACCAUGAGAGUUUGUAACACCCAAAGCCGGUGGGGUAACCUUCGGG